CCCUUCUCAGAAUCGCACCUGGAGAGUUUCCAGUCCACUACCAGUCUCGGCUACUGGAGGGAGAGUCAAGCAAAGGCUUACCCAUUCCAUUCUUAGCUUGGGCAGUGGCUAGCGAGUGGAAAGCAAUCUGCAACAAGU